GAUGAACGCUGGCGGCGUGCCUAAUACAUGCAAGUCGAGCGAACGGACGAGAAGCUUGCUUCUCUGAUGUUAGCGGCGGACGGGUGAGUAACACGUGGAUAACCUACCUAUAAGACUGGGAUAACUUCGGGAAACCGGAGCUAAUACCGGAUAAUAUUUUGAACCGCAUGGUUCAAAAGUGAAAGACGGUCUUGCUGUCACUUAUAGAUGGAUCCGCGCUGCAUUAGCUAGUUGGUAAGGUAACGGCUUACCAAGGCAACGAUGCAUAGCCGACCUGAGAGGGUGAUCGGCCCCACUGGAACUGAGACACGGUCCAGACUCCUACGGGAGGCAGCAGUAGGGAAUCUUCCGCAAUGGGCGAAAGCCUGACGGAGCAACGCCGCGUGAGUGAUGAAGGUCUUCGGAUCGUAAAACUCUGUUAUUAGGGAAGAACAUAUGUGUAAGUAACUGUGCACAUCUUGACGGUACCUAAUCAGAAAGCCACGGCUAACCACGUG
rnacentral:rRNA from 1 species